AUGCUUCCACUCCCUUUUAUUUGAAUUCAGAGUAUAGAAAAACACACCGAGUGUCACAGAGUGUCAACAUGUGUACUGUCCUCAUCAUAUUUUCUGCCACACUAUUGUUUCUACCAGGUUCUGGUGUUUGUUCUGUAGUCCAGAGUCCUCCUGAUGUCAUAAAAAAUCAAGACGAGCUUGCUGAGAUCAAAUGUGCACACACUGUAAAGGACUAUAAUCAAAUACUCUGGUACAAACACAGCCAAGACACAGGAUUUAAAUACAUGGGAUACCUUUUAAAUGCUUACCCAAAGCUAGAGGAAGAAUUUGAAACCAAAAUCAAACUGAGUGGUGAUGGGAGCAAAAACGGUUCUUUGAGCAUAAAGAGUCUUUCUGUGAACGACAGUGCUGUCUAUUUCUGUGCAGCUUAUUACACAGUGCUGUAGAUCAGCUCACUUCAUAACAAAAACCUUCAUCUGAUCCACGUUACCCCCAAACCAGAACACCUGCAGCUGUGGUUGUGGCCACAAUAAACUGCUCACACACCAAGGAUGCAAAUCAUAAUCGGAUCUACUUGUUUCAACAGCAUCAAGGAGAGAGUAUAGAGCUCAUACUGUACACUACCACCUAUGGCGAUCCAGAAUUCAACCAAGAUCAAUUUUCAGCCAUUAAAACAGUUGCUGAGAGCGGCUCUUUCACAGUGAUGAUGUAGAUUAUAAUGACAGUGCUGUGUGUUUCUGUGCUGUGA